CGGGCCUGUCGGUGAGGCCAAUUGAGCUGAAGUAAAACCAUUCGUGCUGCCUGAACGGCGGCAAAUCCUGCGGCGAAACGUAGGUAUCAGCCCCCGGAUGCACCAGAUAGGUAAAGCUGCGUUCCCCUCCCGCAGAAGAAGCACCGGCUAACUCCGUGCCAGCAGCCGCGGUAAUACGGAGGGUGCAAGCGUUAAUCGGAAUUACUGGGCGUAAAGCGCACGCAGGCGGUCUGUCAAGUCGGAUGUGAAAUCCCC
rnacentral:rRNA from 1 species